rnacentral:rRNA from 1 species
GACGAACGCUGGCGGCGUGCUUAACACAUGCAAGUCGAGCGAGUGGAUUCCCUUCGGGGAUGAAGCUAGCGGCGGACGGGUGAGUAACACGUGGGCAACCUGCCUUCUAGAGGGGGAUAGCCUUCCGAAAGGAAGAUUAAUACCGCAUAACAUCAGAUUAUCGCAUGGUAGACUGAUCAAAGGAGCAAUCCGCUAUAAGAUGGGCCCGCGUCGCAUUAGCUAGUUGGUGAGGUAACGGCUCACCAAGGCGACGAUGCGUAGCCGACCUGAGAGGGUGAUCGGCCACAUUGGGACUGAGACACGGCCCAGACUCCUACGGGAGGCAGCAGUGGGGAAUAUUGCACAAUGGGGGAAACCCUGAUGCAGCAACGCCGCGUGAGUGAUGAAGGCCUUCGGGUUGUAAAGCUCUUUGAUCAGGGACGAUAAUGACGGUACCUGAAGAACAAGCCACGGCUAACUACGUGCCAGCCGCCGCUGUAAUAC